rnacentral:rRNA from 1 species
GACGAACGCUGGCGGCGUGCCUAAUACAUGCAAGUCGAACGCUGAAGAGCUGCUCUUGCUCUUCUUGGAUGAGUUGCGAACGGGUGAGUAACGCGUAGUUUACCUUCCUUGUAGCGGUGGAUAACUAUUGGUAACUCUAACUAAUACCGCAUAACAAUGGUUGACACAUGUCUUUUAUUUUUAUUGGGCAAUUGCUCCACUACAAGCUUGACCUGCGUUGUAUUAGCUAGUAGGUUAGGUAAUGGCUCACCUAGGCGACGAUAGAUAGCCGAACGGAGAGGGGGGUCGGCCACACUGGGACGGAGACAGGGACAAGACUCCUACGGGAGGCAGCAGUAGGGAAUGGGAGGCAACGGGGGCAAACAUGACAGAGCAAGGGCGAGUGAGUGGAGAAGGUUUUGGGAUGGGAAAGAUCGGUUGUAAGUUAAGAACGGGUGUGAGAGGGGAAAAAGCACACUGUGACGGUAGCUUAACAGAAAGGGACGGCUAACUACGUG